UGCACGCAGCGUGCCCGGCUCCUUUCAGCAUUUCGACUUGGACUGGAUAGUAACCUCGGAGUCUGAGUUCAGGGCUCUGAUCCCACCCACCGGCGCUGUGACUCACGGCGCAGUCAGCGAGCUGCCUGGAUAUUGGUGGGCAAGGAGGAGGGAGGGAGCUGGCGGCCGCCGCUGGCACACGAGUUGCUCCGGCGCGCGGUGAUCGGCGCUCCCACCUGCUGCAGGGCUGCAGAACGCCGCUCCCAGGCUGUCCUCAGAUAAAGAAGCUCUGUCCCUGUCGAGUACUGCUGGCCAUCAUCUCUGACCCAAGCACACAGAGCAAGGCAGGCAUGAGACCCCGUGGGACCUGACCCCAUAGCAUCUGACCCUGCUGGGCUUUGCAGGAGAGAAGGGAACAGCUGACACCCACCAGCAGUGCCACAGGAAUCAGCUCCAGCCCCAGAUGGACCAAGUCACACAAGAAAGUUGCAGGGGCACAUCAUUUCUAGGUCACAUCACCUCAGCAGACUGAAUGCGUGAAGAGGACUCUACUGUGAUCUCCAAGACCAUCGUAGGCCCAAAUUUGGUUUGGAAGGAACUCCAGGGCUGCCUGGUAGAGGCUCACUCCAAGCAUCUAUAGAGCCACUGACAGCAGAACCGUUCCACCCAUGCAACUGCACUAUGGAUCCAUGUGGCAACCUCACAAACCCUUCAAGAAACAUGGACUUCCCUCUGCAGCUGCUGGUCGGGUCCUGCCUGGCCCUGCUCAUCGUAUUCACUCUCUGUGGUAACAUCGUUGUGUGCCUGGCCGUCACUCUGGACCGCCGGCUCCGCAGCCUGACCAACUGCAUCAUCGUCUCGUUGGCCAUCACUGACCUGCUGCUGGCCCUGCUGGUGCUGCCCUUCUCCGCCUUCUAUGAGCUCACCAGCGAGUGGCCCUUCGGCAGCACGUUGUGCAACAUCUACCUCAGCCUGGAUGUCAUGCUGUGCACGGCCUCCAUCCUCAACCUCUUCAUUAUCAGCCUGGACCGCUACUUCGCCGUCACCACCCCGCUGCGCUACCAGCAGCUGGUCACCCCAUCCCGCGUGGCUGUGGCCCUGGUUGUUAUUUGGACAGUUUCACUGAUGGUCUCCUUCCUCCCCAUCCACCUGGGGUGGAAUACCAAUGGGACAAUGGUUCAGAACACUACACCCAACUGCACCAGGGAGUGCAAGCUGGAGGUGAAUUCUGUGUACGGACUGGUGGACUCCUUGCUCACCUUCUAUAUCCCUCUGGUCAUCAUGUGCAUCACCUACUACCGGAUAUUCAAGAUAGCGAGGGAGCAAGCCAAGAGGAUAAACCACACGUGGUGCUGCAGCAGCAACAGCCACAUGCCACCCAUGGUGAAGGAGCACAAAGCCACUGUGACUCUGGCAGUGGUGAUGGGAGCCUUCAUCAUUUGCUGGUUCCCCUAUUUCACAGUGUUCACGUACAGAGGGGUGUGGGGGGACAGCAGUGUGAAAGGCACACCCAUGUCCAUCGUCCUCUGGCUGGGCUAUGCCAACUCAGCACUGAACCCCAUCCUCUAUGGGACAUUCAACAGAGAUUUUCGGGUGGCAUACCAGCACUUGUUGCACUGCUGCAGGACAGGGGACCCCAAGAACUCCCUACAGAAGGGUCAGCCCUGGGGCAGGAGCUGCAGGGAGAACCUGGAUGGGCAGGAGGGGAAAUGCCUGAAGCUGGAGAUGAGGAAUGGGAAGGGCAUCUUGCUGACAGAUGGAGCCCUGCAGAGUGACGGAGCUUUCCCGUGAGCCUCAGCCACCCCAUCUCCUGGCCUCCUCUCCCAGCUGCCCUCUUCCAGCACUCUGCAAGGCUGAAAGGACACAGCCAGACUUCCCUUGGGGAGAAACCUGAGAGCAGAGGCAAGGGCUGCAGGGAUCCCUGUGCCGGCACGUGGCACUUGCUGUCUCCCCAGAUGAUGCUGGAAAAGCCUAUGCCUGCCCACAUUUCUUACCAGGAGCACAGAAGAACCUGCACCAUCAGGGCCCAUGACACCUCCAGCACUGAGCCCUACGUUAGUGGGUUGAGAGCCAGGGUGCACCCCAGCAGGUCUGGGGUUCAGGCACAGCAGGAAAAAGGAGAUGCAGCCACAGCCUCGGUGCCAGACAGCCCAACCCAGGACCGGCACUACGCCCCGCGGUGCUCCAUCAAAGGAAAACAUCCACCGCCCAGGGGGCCCGGCAGAGGGGGUGAGGUGACAGGAGAGCUAUCGACGGCCAGAUCACAACACGUGCAGCCCCCCAGCAUCCUCAUGGGCCAAAAAAGAGCCCCACCUCGGGGACAGUGGGGUGUCCCCUGCUCUUUGUGGGCUUCACACGCUCAGCCCCACGGCAAGGAGAGAGGACCCGGAGCCACGGGAGCCGCCGAGCAGUGUGGCUGCCCCCAGGCUCUUUCCCCAGCAGCAGCUAAAGCCAAGUCUGCAAAAACAGGAUGUCUGCGAGCGAGCCUGGGCAGAACCCAGCCAUACAAAAUCCCGUUUAACACAGAGGCAGAACAGCACGAUUGAUUUCUCCCAGCACACUCUACCUCUAGAAGAGCUCCCCGUAGCCCCCCAUUCCCCUGUACCUCACCCCUUCCUCUCCGCCGCGCUCACGCACAGCACAACCGCAGGGACGCGGCUGGAGCCGAGCGCACCGCUCCCAGAGCCGGGGGGCAGCAGAGCGGCUCCGGCGCCCCCCGGGCCGGGCAGCGUUACGAGCUCGGAGCUCCCCCUGCUUGCGGCUCCCGGCCCGGCCCCCCUCUGUUCCGGAGCACCCGCAGCCCGGGCCGGGCCAGAAACAGCCGCAGCAUCCACGCUUCCCUCUAAGACUCGGGGAGGAGGAUCUGACAAACGCACCCCACCCAAAGCUGUGCCACCUAUGAUAACAAUUAGAGACUGAUCUAAUUGCAAAAAUAAUUGCAAUUGAAGUGUUUAAUUACCAUAGUAAGCAGGAAGAGCCGCUCCCGACUGUUUUGGUAGCACUCCCGAUCCAUCAAACAAGGUUUGGGGCUUGUUUGGGGUUGGUGUGUGUUUUCUUUUUUAUUAUUAUUAGAUUGCAGCCCUGGGGGGAUGAAGAGAUUUACUAAUUAGGGUCCUGGAGAACAGCCACCAACUUGCAAGCACUUGUUUUUAAUUUCAAUACUAACAAGGCUGGAAGGGGGAGAAAUCCAAAAUGCAUAACAGCUGUGUGGUUGCAGCCCUGCAGCCCCUCACCACGCUGGCAGAGCCCUGGUGCUGCUUGGUGUGAUGCUGUGAGGCUGGUUUUGUGCUGUGCCAGCACCUGUCACCCUCUGAUCCCAUCCACUGCAGUGACAGCUCAUCCAGAUCCUGGUGCCAAGCCCUGCAGAACAACAGCAGGAAACUUCUCCAGGUGGCAUUUGGUUUUGUUCUCCCCUAUAUGUGCAACAAAAGGGGAUUAAAUUCUUUCUCCAAGCAGCAAUUCUGAGAGGGAGGAGAAACCGCUUAGAAAGCUCCUAAGCAACAUCUGCUUUCUCAGAUAGGAAUAUCCCCAUGCUAGCCAAGUGCCCAGGGACAGCUCUAUCCUUUGGGCCCUGUAGGGAUGCAGCCACAGCUCUGGGUAGGACCCAAAAGCACAGAAAGGGCUGUGGGGAGGGGAUGUAGGAGCUGCUGCAGGGCACUCUGGUGUGCCCCCCUCCCAGAAGUGUAGCAAAGGACUGUUGUAUUCCUUUUAGAUAAAAGAGAAACAUCAGUAGAAGAAGGGAAAAAAAAAAAAGUGUUGGCUUUUUUUUUGAGCUCUCGUGAUUGAACACAGGAGAUGGAAAGGUGGCAAGCAGCCCCAA